rnacentral:piRNA from 7 species
CGUACGUAGCAGAGCAGCUCCCUCGCUG